GCUAACUUGGCCGAGAGGUUAAGGCGUAACGUUUAGGCCGUUAUGUAUGUGAGUACGCGUGGGUUCGAACCCCACAGUUAGCA
rnacentral:tRNA from 1 species